ACUUCAGUGGUGUUAAGGGAUCGUACUAGAUUUUGAUGGUCGGUUUCCACAGAAACAGCUUUCAAUCUCAUACGCUGGAUGUAUUUCAGCGCUUCCAAGAGGGCUAGGGUUUCCAAUUGAGCGGUAAAAACCGCUCGAACAGAUCUGGUGAAGCCAUCCACGAGCGCGCCUGUGUGAUCUCGGACAACACACGCGAUAGCUCCUUCUGUCGAGUCCUCACUCAGCGACCCGUCGACGUUGAUUUUAAGCGUGCCCACCGCUGGAGGAACCCAGAUCUGAGAUCUACAAUGUUGUAGGCAUUCGGCUUGCUUCCCCGGAAUGUAAAGUUGUUGCGGCCCUUCCAAAUUUGCCAAAGAAUGUUAGAAAUCGCUUCCAAGGGAGUUCAGUCCAGGGACAAAGGAGAAAAAUGUGUUCAGCUGUUUCAACUUCUGUUUGGCAAAGGGUGCAAACUGGAUCAGGAUGAAAAUUUCUGAGACUGCAACUUCUGUUGUUCUGCCACUUCAACACUCAUUGGACAUUUUCCAGUGUGCUGCUGUUGUUCCUCUUGGUGCCCUGGAGUGGUAAAGUUAGUUUGUGCCCUUUCAAAUGUGGGUUCUAUUGCUGUCUGCUCCCCUGUAAAAAGAACUAUUUGGGUGUUUUGGGCUGGUAUAUCAGUAGCUACUUGUUCUUCCUCGUUGUCUUCCACACUAUCACCAUAAAAUAUUUGCCAAAAUGGACUAGUCUCUUUGGCCUCUGCUUUAAGCCAAUGCCCAAAUCGAUUUGAAAACUUUUCUUCAUAUUUGACCUCAUCAAAGGGAACUUCAUCACAAUUUUUCGCGAAAUGCCCAAUUUUACCACAAGAGUAGCAAAAGCGAGGUAGCCUUUCAUACUUAAAAUCCAGCCAUACCUUUCCAUCUCCUAGGUUAUAUAAGGUUCCUGGACUUAAUGGAGUAUCCAGGUCUAGAACAACCCUUGCCCUUCCCACUUUCUGACAAGCCACUCCCUUCUUUUUUUCCACUUUAACUUCCUAAACACCACCUAAGAUUUGAGUUAUGUGGGAAACUACCUCCUCAGAACACCAUUCAAUAGGAAGGCCGUGAACUUGAACCCAAAAAGCACAGUUGUUGAAUUUAUAACAUUGGGCAGGUUUGUUGGGUUCCCAUGGUUUAAGUAUUAAUAAAUUACUCGCAAAAGACCAUGGACUGUUCGCUAACACUCUUUCUUUAUCCAUCUCAGAAUCAAAGGUGAAAGAUAAUAUACCCAAUUCCCGUUGUGCAAAGGUAACUGAAUCUACCUUCCACGCUUUCUUCAUUGUGUUGAGAAAUGCUUGAUAGUUGAUGUUUCCUCCCGAAUGCAGCUUCCUAAACACUGUACGAUUACAUUCGUCCAGAAUCUCCUCAGAAAUCACUUUUUCUCGUGGUGGGGCAUCAACUUCCGUCCUUAAGUUACCCAGUUUUCGGCAAAGAAUUGCUAGACGAUUAUCCGUCCCUCCAGAUUCUUCCAUUUACUCUGCCUUAUAAAUAGAGGACAAAACGAAGCAAGAUUUUGGGGGAGAGACCAGAAACACUAGUUUCGACUACAUUCUUCCAAACUCCAUUCAUCUAGCCGAGCGAAAGAAAACCAGACGAUUGCAAAUACCCAGAUGAUUAAAGGCAAGAUGAGGAUGCUAACAAGACCCAAAGCAAAGAUUACGGAUUACACGAACCGAUUUUGUGGAGGGCAGUCAAUUUCAGCCAUCCAUUAAGGAUGCGGGCGAAAUAGGCUUUGUGGGGGAAGUUUUCUGGUUUUAUGUGGGAAAGUAAAAAAGGUUAUGUCUUCCAUGGGUUCAA